rnacentral:rRNA from 1 species
AUUGAACGCUGGCGGCAGGCCUAACACAUGCAAGUCGAGCGGAUGAAGGGAGCUUGCUCCUGGAUUCAGCGGCGGACGGGUGAGUAAUGCCUAGGAAUCUGCCUGGUAGUGGGGGAUAACGUCCGGAAACGGGCGCUAAUACCGCAUACGUCCUGAGGGAGAAAGAGGGGGAUCUUCGGACCUCACGCUAUCAGAUGAGCCUAGGUGGGAUUAGCUAGUUGGUGGGGUAAAGGCCUACCAAGGCGACGAUCGGUAACUGGUCUGAGAGGAUGAUCAGUCACUCAGGAGCUGAGACACGGUCCAGGCUCCUACGGGAGGCAGCAGUGGGGAAGAUUGGACGCUGGGCGAAAGCCUGAACCAGCCAUGCCGCGUGUGUGAAGAAGGUCUUCGGAUUGUAAAGCACUUAAGUUGGGAGGAAGGGCAGUAAGUUAAUACCUUGCUGUUUUGACGUUACCAACAGAAUAAGCACCGGCUAACUUCGUG